rnacentral:rRNA from 1 species
GACGAACGCUGGCGGCGUGCCUAAUACAUGCAAGUUGAGCGCUGAAGGUUGGUACUUGUACCAACUGGAUGAGCAGCGAACGGGUGAGUAACGCGUGGGGAAUCUGCCUUUGAGCGGGGGACAACAUUUGGAAACGAAUGCUAAUACCGCAUAAAAGCUUUAAACACAAGUUUUAAGUUUGAAAGAUGCAAUUGCAUCACUCAAAGAUGAUCCCGCGUUGUAUUAGCUAGUUGGUGAGGUAAAGGCUCACCAAGGCGAUGAUACAUAGCCGACCUGAGAGGGUGAUCGGCCACAUUGGGACUGAGACACGGCCCAAACUCCUACGGGAGGCAGCAGUAGGGAAUCUUCGGCAAUGGACGAAAGUCUGACCGAGCAACGCCGCGUGAGUGAAGAAGGUUUUCGGAUCGUAAAACUCGGUUGGUAGAGAAGAACGUUGGUGAGAGUGGAAAGCUCAUCAAGUGACGGUAACUACCCAGAAAGGGACGGCUAACUACGUG